AGGAGGAGCACGAAGAGCGCAUCCAUCCUAAUUUCCAGAACCAUUCUCCUUCAUCAAGCCAAGAUGGAGAGAAAUAUGGUGCCACAGAUUCAGGAACUCCUCCUCCUCAUGCCAUGCCAGAUUUCUCCAACGUCCCAUAUAUUGACGACAACAAAGAGACCUCGCCUGAAUUGCAUCCCACUCCAGUUCCGUGGACUCAAAGGGUCCGACUUGGCAAAAUUCAUGACAGCCGUGCCACAUUAUCGAGAAGGAGAAGUGCUUUGGAAAAGGCCGUGAGAAAUUACGCAGAUAAGAAGUCAGAGUUCGUCGUCAAGCCAGAGAUCAGUCAGGAAUUUGAUUCUUUGGCCGAUGCUUACGACUUCUACAACCUAUUCUUUGGCUGAAGUUCCAGAGGCCAUGCCAGACUUCUGGCCUUCCAACUCUGUGGCUGGGAAGAAAUUGUUAAAGGAAACUUAUCGGCAGCUGAUGGUUGCAUGGUGGCUUGGGUUACAAGAUCAGGCCACAACUGAGCUGCAUGACCAAGAUAUGCAUGUCAUACCAGGAGCAACUAUUCUAUCAAGCUCAAUGAAUGUAGUACCGCGCAAGAGGGAUCGAAGCAGGCCAAUGAACAUAAGAGAAAAGCUAGGUUAUGAUAAUGCCAGCAAGCCAAGAUCAAAGUUUUGUUCUAUUUGCAGAGGUAAGGGCCACAUCGCAUCCUAAUACCCCUCAAAGGGAGAUGUACCAAAGACACAAAGGAAAGCCCCAAGGUGUACAAAGUGUGGCCUUGCAGGCCAUGAGUGAAUUUCGUGCUCGAUAAGAAUGUUCAUUUUGUUGUCGGAAGAUGAAAUUGGUGUUACGAAAGAUGUUGUAGGCUUUCUUUUGUUGUGCUGUUUUGAAAGAUGAAAUUGGUGUUGUUGGCUUUCUUUUGUUGUCGAAAAUUAGGUUUAUGUUGUGGCCCAGUAGUGAAUAUGUAAACUCGGAAAUGUUAUCCGGAUGCGUAAAGUUAG